CUCAUCCUGGCUCGGUGCGACCCGGCUGGGUCCGGGCGCGCUGUCAUGACAUGGAGCGAUAAGCGGCUUGUCCAGCAUUAUCAUUGGAGGUAAGAACUGGCCAGUGCAUUUCUUGUGAUGCCCCAAGGUGUCUCAAGCCAUCUCCAAAUGCAUCUCCAUGCCUGUCUUACCCACAGAGGCCAGCAAGCAAGGACAGGGAGGGUUUGCAAAAGGCUCUUCACACCCAGCUCCCCAGAACUACUUGGGGAGAGGAAGACCCCCAAGCCUCACCCAUGGAUCAAGGACAGGCUUUAAAGGAGCACCAUUCCUACCAGGCCAAUGGAGGGGGUGGUGAAAAGACCCAGUGCAAUCUAACAACUUUGCAACUCAAGAUAAAUUAAUAAAAGAAGUAAGUACUUCUGAGUGAGCUGUUCCAGUUCUGAGAGGAACUGACGCCAGCCCAGCCUCUGGCCCUAUAUUUAGUAAAAAUCUAAACCAGACAUUGAUAAUAUUAUUAAAGACAGGAAGGAGUAAAAGAAGACGUCGCCUUGCUGGGAUGACUGAUCUACUUACGCACGACGGCGGGAGUGCUGAGAGAAAGGUGUCUCGGGUCAGGAGAGCCUCUGCUGGGCUCUCAACCAGCGGAAGAAGACUUCUGACACAGCAGGUUCAAGCAGUCCUAACCCAGUUUAACAAGUGGUAUGGGAGGGAGAGGUGGUGAAUAAAACAUGGGCUGCUUC